GUCUUCUUGAUUUCUGCCUUGAAGGCCUCCGCCUCCCCGUUCUGGUCGUCCUUUGCCAGCAGGUCCAUGAGGGGACACCAAGACCCCCAAAUGGAUUUCCUCCAGCUUUCGGAAAGCUUAAAAACUCGGCACCUCGUUCCCCCCCAAUCCGUGGUGUGGCCGCUAUCGGUUUUCUGCCAGUUUAACUAGCCUGUUUGUGAAGCAUUACUUCAAAUCUCUUAUUGUUCGGGUAUUCACCUUCUCCCACCCAAACCAUGGUCACAAGAAAUCUGGAGGAAGACUGCCAUCUUGGAUGCAUCUUAAUCAGGCAAGAAAGGGCACAGUAAUGAGACCUGCUCCCUAUGGCUGACUAGUAUUGGCCUUUGGAAGUUUAACUAGAAAAUCUAAUGCCUAUGGUCCCGGUCUUUUGGAAGAAACGGUCUAAAGGCACUCUUUCUCUCUUAUCCCUCUGCUGACAGAGACAUCAAAUCUCCCGUCUGCUCUAUGUUAUCCGUGCAGCCUCAGCAUGAGAACCUGAAUCCCAGAGAGUCAACCAUAGCCUUCAAUAGGUUUUUAUUAUUCUAGAUCAAUUGUCUUCAUUGCAGUUUAACUAGUAGAUGGUGUGCUGCAUUCCCCUCCUUAUUCCCAACAAACAACCAAGCAUGAACUUUUAGUUGAACCCAUGUUACUUGUCUUUUUUUUCAACCCCUCUAUAUACUUGGAAGGGAUUAAAAAUGUGUUGGGAGAGGCUGAACAUUAUACUUUAAGAGUUUGGUCUUUGUAUAGUACUAUUUAAAAAAAUCACUUGGAUUCAACCCUCGUUUUAGGAUAAAAACUAGAGCUGCUUUUCCUAUAUUUAUGAUGUCAAAGCAAAGCACUGUCUCUAUCUUAUGUUUUGUGCAGGAUAAUUCAAAAUAAACUGGACCAUAAAGAGGAAUC